rnacentral:sRNA from 2 species
UAUCUCUCCGUACGGGGAAGGAUGGGAAGCUUCGACUAAGGUUCGAUUCGAGCGCAGCGAGAAAGCGUUGCCGCAGGCAACGACCCGAAGGGCGAAGCGCGCAGCGCUGAGUCAUCCUUCCCCCACCACCA